AUUGAACGCUGGCGGCAGGCUUAACACAUGCAAGUCGAGCGGGCGAGGUUGCUUCGGUAACUGAGCUAGCGGCGGACGGGUGAGUAAUGCUUAGGAAUCUGCCUAUUAGUGGGGGACAACAUUCUGAAAGGAAUGCUAAUACCGCAUACGCCCUACGGGAGAAAGCAGGGGAUCUUCGGACCUUGCGCUAAUAGAUGAGCCUAAGUCAGAUUAGCUAGUUGGUGGGGUAAAGGCCUACCAAGGCGACGAUCUGUAGCGGGUCUGAGAGGAUGAUCCGCCACACUGGGACUGAGACACGGCCCAGACUCCUACGGGAGGCAGCAGUGGGGAAUAUUGGACAAUGGGCGAAAGCCUGAUCCAGCCAUGCCGCGUGUGUGAAGAAGGCCUUUUGGUUGUAAAGCACUUUAAGCGAGGAGGAGGCUACUUGGAUUAAUACUCUAGGAUAGUGGACGUUACUCGCAGAAUAAGCACCGGCUAACUCUGUGCCAGCAGCCGCCGUAAAAC
rnacentral:rRNA from 1 species